GACUCAAUAGCUCAGUGGUAGAGCAUGAGAUUGCAGUUCUGAGUAAUAACAAUCUUAGGGUCCCGUGUUCGAACCACGGUUGGGUCU
rfam:Fistulina hepatica ATCC 64428 unplaced genomic scaffold FISHEscaffold_363, whole genome shotgun sequence.